CCUACGGGCGGCAGCAGUGGGGGAUAUUGCACAAUGGGGGAAACCCUGAUGCAGCGACGCCGCGUGUGGGAAGACGGUCUUCUGGAUUGUAAACCACUGUCCCCAGGGACGAAAAUGACGGUACCUGGGGAGGAAGCUCCGGCUAACUACGCGCCACCAGCCGCGGUAAUACGUAGGGAGCAAGCGUUGUCCGGAAUUACUGGGUGAAAGGGGAGCGUAGUGGGUGAUGCAAGUUGGGUGUCAAAACUACCGGCUCAACCGAUAGUCGCACUCAAAACUGCAACUCUUGAGUGAAGUAGAGGCAGGCGGAAUUCCUAGUGUAGCGGUGAAAUGCGUAGAUAUUAGGAGGAACACCAGUGGCGAAGGCGGCCUGCUGGGCUUUUACUGACGCUGAGGCUCGAAAGUGUGGGGAGCAAACAGGAUUAGAUACCCGAGUAGUC
rnacentral:rRNA from 1 species